UGAUUGGACAGGGCCUGGCGGUGAAAGGUUAAUCCCGGCCCUCCAACCACUCAGGAGCAGGGAGACAGCGGGCGCGCGCGGGGAGGCCGAGGCGGCGUUUGCGGCCCAGCGCCGGGACUGGACCCUGGCAUUCGGCCGCAGUGGCCGGGAGUCUUUGGGGCCCUCGGGAACCCGCGUGCCGAGGCCGGCUAAGUUUGGCAGACUCUCUGAGCUCUCGGAAUUCGACUGCCUCCGUUGUUGCUCCUUCUGGCACCCACAGACCGUAACGUGGCCGUAAUUGUUCCCCGGAGAGCUUAGCUUCCCUCUGAGCACCUCCCUCCCCUUUUUAAAGUACCUUCCCACUCGCCUGCGUUUCCUCACGUUAGUGGUGCAGGGACCUCCGCAUUUGGGGAAAUAAACACCCACUUCCGCCCCCCACCCCAACCGGGAUCCCCAGAUAAUGAGAAAUAGACGGUGGUCCUCUGUAGGUAUGCUGUUCAUUUGCAUAGGUCGGAACCGCCCACCACUGCUUGUAGCUAGGAAUUAAAAUAUCGGUGGGAGUUAAAUAAGUGGCUGGAUUAAAGAACAUCGUCUCAAUUUAUCCCCAAAUGCAGACAUCUCUUCAGUGGACUUCCUGAUAGGCCGAUUUGCUCCAGGUGAGGUGUGCUCACAGCAACUGCAACCGUGUUUCUUUCAGCCCAUGGGCGUGAGCAGAACCUACUGUGCGCCCGUGCUGCGUGGGCUGUGCUGUUCAGUUUGGGGCCACCAGCCCCACGUGGCUCCUGCGCACUUAAAGUAUGGCUAGUCGGAAUCGAGAUAUAUGCAUUCUUUACCAAAUAAUGUUCCAAAAAUUGUUACAUGUUGAAGUGAUAAACUUUUUUGAUAUAUUGGGAUAAACGUUUUAUUUAUUUUUUAGUGUGGGUUCUACAGAAUUUUAAAUGUCAUCUGUGGCCUGCAAUAGCAGGCUGAUCUAGCGCUUGCAUGGCUGUGAUCCUUAGGUGCACCCUGUGAGGUAGGUGCUUUUAACUGUGUGCACAUUGUGAGGUAGGUGCUGAAACUGCUUCCUAUGUUUUUUUUUUUUUUUUUUUUUGAGACGGAGUCUUGCUCUGUCGCCAGGCUGGAGUGCAGUGGCGCAACCUGGGCCCACUGCAGUGGGCUCACUGCAAUCUCCGCCUCCCAGGUUCAAGUGAUUCUCCUGCCUCGGCCUCCCGAGUAGCUGGGAUUACAGGGGCACACCACCACACCCAGCUAAUUUUUGUAUUUUUAGUAGAGACGGGGUUUCACCAUGUUGGCCAUGAUGGUCUGGAUCUCUUGACCUUGUUAUCCGUCCGCCUUGGCCUCCCAAAGUGCUGGCAUUACGGGUGUGAGCCACCGUACCCAGCCUGCUUCCUGUUUUAACAGAUGAAGAAAUGGAAUAACUUCCAGCAAGUAAGUAGCCAGUAAGUGAACAACUGAGAUUUGAACCCAGGUAGUCUGGCUUUGAGGCUGGUGUGCUCGAUCACUACUGUGCUAAAAGUUUGAUAAUAUAUUUACUAUGAAUCUGCUUAAAGUUUCACUUGAAGAUAGCAUAUUCAUGGGCAAAAUUAGGAAGUAGGAUGCUCCUGGAAGACCUAUGUAUUAAAAAAAGUAGUUUCUUAUGUGUCAAGCACAGUGAGCGUGUCAUACCUUUAAGUCCCCAGUCAUACAUAUAAGGCUUUCUUUGUAGCUAGGAAUUAAAAUAUCGGUGGGAGUUAAAUAAGUGGCUGGCUUAAAGAACAUCGUCUUAAUUUAUCCCCAAAUGUAGACAUCUCUUCAGUGGACUCCCUGAUAAGCCUUUAUGAGAAGGACAGCAUCUCAGUGUGGGGUAGGCACUGGGCUCUAUUGGCAGUGGAAAUUUGUGGGCUGGUACAACUUCAGCCCCUCUGGUUGUCCUCUUGCAAUGUGUCAAGACUAGCCAGGCUGCUUGUUCCAUCAGCAGGUUUACCUGAUUUUUUUAUUUUUUUUACUUUUUUUUUUUUAAUUUUAUUUAUUUUUUUCUUGUUUGAGGCAGAGUUUCACUCUUGUCACCCAGGCUGGAGUGCAAUGGCGCAAUCUCGGCUCACUGCAACCUCUGCCUCCUGGGUUCAAGCGAUUCUUCUGCCUCAGCCUCCCGAGUAGCUGGGUUACAGGCAUGUGCCACCACGCCCGGCUAAUUUUUGUAUUUUCAGUAGAGACGGGGUUUCACCAUGUUGGCCAGGCUGGUCUCGAACUCCUGACCUGCCUCGGCCUCCCAAAGUGCUGGGAUUACAGGCAUGAGCCACCGUGCGUGGCCGGUUUAUCUGAUUUUUAUCAAUUUCAGUUUUUAUUUUUAAAAUAAGUAGUAUAUCCAUAUUAUUCAUUUAUCAGAAAGCCUAUAAAAGAUACACAGUAGAAAAAGAUCUCGCUCACACCUGUCCUAGUGUCACAAAUAGGUGACCACUGUUUCCUGCUCAUUCUUCAAAAUGUUUAUGUAUAUACGAGCCAAGACAUACUCUUUGUGUUCCUUAUUUAGAAAAAUGCCAGCAUGCCAUACAUAUUUACUGCACCUUGUGUUUUUUACUUAAUGUAUCCAGAGGGCAUGUUUUUAUAGUAAUACAUAGAGAGCUCCUUGCUGUUUUUUUUCAACCGCCUUAACAUAUUAUUGCAGGUAUAUCCAUACCAUAAUUUACCAAUUCUCUAUUGAUGGACAUUUAGACUUUAAGUCUUUUGGAAUUAAAUGUUGAUCCAUUUGGAAUCGAUUUAAUACAUACGGUGAGGUAUGAAUCCAAAUUAAUUUUUUUGUCCAGGCGGCUACACAGUCAUUUAUUGAGCAGUUCACUUCUGGACUCUGUAUCCAUUCUAAUGGUCUAUCUAUUCAUGCUCCACUUGCUGGUUUGUUUUAAAUCCAGAGACAUAAAAUCUUGUAAGGGGUAUUGUUUCACACUUUGUUUGGAUCACUAGAAAUCUUAAAGCUAUAUUUCAGCCCAUGUUAAGCAACAGUAUAAUACCAUGUGGUAUACAUUUUCUAUGGGCUAAUUUUUAUUUUCCCUUAGCCCCGAUUAUUUCCACAAUUUGGUUUAUUUUUUGUAGAACAAGCCAGGAUUUAAAUAUACCUUUAAGACUCUCUGUUUGCAAAUUACAGAAACCAGCCUGAACUAGCGCAACCAAAAGGGAGAAUUUAUCAUAAUGAUGUAGGUGCUUCUCACAAAAGCCCAGAACAGGAAUACAGCCACAUCUUAGCAAAAACUAGAACCAGUCAUUGAAAAGCUUCCAGGAACCCAAAAGCCCCAGACACCCCGAAGGCCUUCCAUACAGGUAUGUAUAAGGAACAAGCUGCCCACAUCUGGCCCAACCCCUGACAACCAGGACUUAGACAAAUGUCACCAAGGCUGCUAGAUGCCUGCUCCCAAUCAACAGCCCUUCUCACUUGUAAUUCAUUAGCAGAGGUUGGAGCUGAAGGAGUGCCCAGGCUGGGAAUGGAGGAAGGAUGUGCUCAGGAGAAGGUGAAGAUGGGAGAGAAGCAAGAUCUUCUGUGUUUGGACCAAGGACACAUUUCCUUACUCCAUAGCAGCUGUGGUCAGUGGCUUAGCUCGGACAAGGAGAUGAGAGCCCAUGUGUUGUGAGGGUUCUUCUGGGAACUCUGAGAAGGCAGGGGCCGCCCAUCACUGCCUCUCUUCCAUUCUGCAGCAUGGAAUAUGGAUGUGUGAUCUGGAUGUACAGACACCAUUUUGGACCAUUAAGACAAGGACGAUUGUCUAAGGAUGACACAGCCAGAGCACUGACAGUGGCAAGAAGGACUGUCUCUCUUAGGAGAAAAAUAAAAUUUACUGGUGUUUAAA